GCUUGAAUGCCGGAGAGGGUCGCGGAAUUCCCGGUGUAGAGGUGAAAUUCGUAGAUAUCGGGAGGAACACCAGUGGCGAAGGCGGCGACCUGGACGGACAUUGACGCUGAGACGCGAAAGCGUGGGGAGCAAACAGGAUUAGAUACCCUGGUAGUCCACGCUGUAAACGAUGGAUGCUAGGUGUGGCGGGUGUUGACCCCUGCCGUGCCGCAGCUAACGCAUUAAGCAUCCCGCCUGGGAAGUACGGCCGCAAGGCUA
rnacentral:rRNA from 1 species